AUACUCAAAAUUUUUCUUAAGAAUACGUGUAAUUUUACAAGACCAUUCAUCAUAGCACCAAGCCCAAUAUUCCUUUAUAGAAAACAGUCAAAUAACAAAGACUCCAGUUAAUUUCCCGCAGGUAUAAAUUAUGCAAAUAGUCAUUUAUAUCUUCAUUUACAAUAAUCAAUAAAUAAGAGGGCACGUUCAUACAAUUUUUUGUACAAAGAUACCUUUUUACAAAGCUACAGCUACGUAUAUAACUAAAUAGACAAAAUAAUUCUCGUACUACAAAAUAACAUUUCGUUUUUUUCAAUAGUUCUCUAGAGCUCUCGGUAAAAAUUUUCAGACAUUAUCAAUCAAGUCCUGCCAUGACAUUAAAAGAAACUGUAGCAUUAAAUCUGUUAAACAUACUGCCGACCUUGAAAAAAUACACACCGAUCCUCCUCAGGAAAGGAAAACACAGCAUGUUUUAAACAAACUCCUAUUUCCAGAGUUAAUACAUAUAUUUUCUUCAGCUGCACCCGUGGUAUAUGAAGGUGGCCAGGCCAGGGACUGCAUCAGAGCCGCAGCUGUGACCUACGCCCCAGCUGCAACUGGAUCCUUCACCCGCUGUGCCACAGCGGGAGCUCGUCAGGUUUAAGAACUUCUCCCGACCACGUACAGUAAAGAACCACCAUUCUUCCACGUUUACUCUGUCUUUGGCUGAUGCUACCAACACCACUGCAAGUGAUGCAGGCAGCUAACUUAUGGUGCAAUUUCAAGGCAAAGGGAUCUGCUUCCUGGGACACCCUCCCUGCAGUACCACACCCACCCUAGGGACAGUCUACACAAACAUGCCAGUCUUUGGCUUAAGGGAUCCCGUGCUAGAAUGCAAGCGGCCUCUGUUUCCAAGGGGACUUUCUAUGCCUACGCAUCUCGAGUCUUGGAGAGGAAGGGGGAAUAGCGGGAAAGAACGGGAAGUCUGUUGUCCAUGGUUAUCGAGUCCUUCAGCUGAGCUCGUGAAUCUGAAAGAAAGUCCCCUGGGAAACGGCCUCGGACGGUGACUUAAUUCAAGGCGACCAGUUCAGAUCAGAUCAGACCAGUUCAGAAGCAGAUCUCUCACGUCCCACCCCCAAUGUUCAACCCCACGCCUUCAACAGACUACCUUUCAUUGUUCCAACCCCCUCCCCCAGGCACCUUUCCCCGAUACUGAAGCCAGAAGCACAGCUCUAAGCUUUGGAAUUCACUUACAGAUACAGAGGUGCAUUUAUUUAAGCAAAUAGGUCACUUACUGAGGUUAAAAACAAACAGAAAAAACAACAACAACAAAAACCCUGAAAAACUAACUUGCUAGACUUCCGGAUUUUUAAACCCAGGAAGAACUUUUAAAGAGAUCUUCCAACUUCUGACCCAGAGAGGUAAAUGAAUUAUUCAAGGUGUCACAGCAGGUGAGCUGGAGCUGAGAUGAGGCUUCUCGAUGCCCAGGCCAGUACUGUCCUACUUUGGGACAAUGUCAGCUCUUUAGGUGACAAACACUGAGUUUCCUUUUUAAAAGUCUUUCAAUCAGAGUUCCCCUUGUGGCUCAGCAGCAACUGAAUCUGACUGGCAUCCAUGAAGAUGCAGGUUUGAUCCCUGGUCUCGCUCAGUGGGUUAAGGAUCUGGCAUUGCCACUGGCCUCGCUCAGUGGUGUAGGCUGCAGACAGCUCGGAUCCCACAUUGCUGUGGCUGUGGUGUAGGCCGGCGGCUACGGCUCCAAUUAGACCCCUAGCCUGGGAACCUCCAUAUGCCAUGGGUGCCGUCCUUAAAAAAAAAAAAAAAAAGGCUUUCCAUCCUUGCAUGACAUUUAGCAAUACCGGCACAUUGUGGCUGUCCUCAUACCACAGUCUUAGAGAGAAAAUGCCCUUCCUGACUUCUGCUGCCGCUAAAAGAAUCAGUAGCCGGUGCAAAUGGCAGAAACCUAGCAAACGAUAUGUUUUCUCUUCGUUUUUGCAAUAAUGCAAUGAUCACAACUUUCAAAUUCAAAACAAAGGAAAACGGAUGAUUCCUGUCUCACAGACCAAGCAGCUAGGACUUUGUGGAGGUGAUGGAGGCUCUUUACCCGUUUGUCGUCUCUGCCGGGCGCAGUGAGAUCUGCUUUUCCAAGAACAGAGCCUCACUUCUUACUCUGAAAAUCGGGUGCUGCAAGUGGAGAGUCAAGGGCGGGGGAAGUUAAUUAAAGUCCCUUAAGUCUUGGCUGCUGGACACUGAGGUUAUGCUGCUAAAGUGCUGCUAAACUUUAUGCACAGUCAUUUUGGUGGCAAAUUUGCAACCCUAAGCUAAUACCUGAACUUGGGGCAUCCCCAGUCAUUAAAAAAAAAAUCUUUCAUUUACGUUUAAUUGAAGUAUAGUUGAUGUCUAAGAUUACUCUGUCACGUUUGUGACUGAGGAUGAAGGAGAUAUUUAAGCAGUGUUGACAUGGGGGGGUCAAAGUGUGCAGAGACCUGGGAAGAGGGAAAUACAAAGUGGGGGCUGCCAUGGACUAAUAAACUGUGUCAUUUUCCCAAUGCCGAUUUCCACCCUCGCUUGCCAACGAGGCCAAAGUCACCAAGACUCAGCAUCUCACCAGGGCGUGACUCAUUUUCUAAGCAUGAGGUCCAGGGUGGAAACGAACGUUUGCAAGUAAGAGUCCUAUGGCCGCGAUUCUGCCACUUGCCCGCUCGAGGGCUUCCUUCCUGUGUUUUACUUUCCUCUCGGAAAGACCCACCUCCCGUGAUUGUCACGAGCGCCCAGUGAGCUCAUGGGGAGACGCCGGCUUCGGCUUCCUCUUGCGAAAGGCAUGGUUUAGAUUUGAGACGGGGCGGCUGGCGAGAUGGCAGUGCAGUGGGGAGAGGCUGGGAGAGGCUGUGGCGAACUGAACGCAGGGCAAAGGGGGAACGUCAGAGCCUGGAGAGGGCCCCGCACACGAGGAGCCCCUGGGCCCUCUACGACCUCCUAGCAAGCUCGCUGUGAAGCUAUGCUCAUUCGACAAUUACGUCCAGAGAGUCUGCUCUGCGCAGAAGAUGCUCAGAGCAGGAAUGUGGCCCAGAAGACGGAGCCAGGGCUUGCACCCAGCUCUGGCUGAUGCCCAAAGCAGCCCUCUUCCCUUAUCCCAGAAAACCUCCUGGGAAAGAGGGAGGGAUGAUUUAAAAAAAAAAAAAAAAAAGGCGUUGGGCGGCGGGGGGGAACCUCCGUUAAAGAGAUUCCUGCUGGAUGAAAGGCAGCCAGUCGGGGAUUUUAAAGUCCGCGGUGGGAUGAGGCACCUAGAUUGUUGAGUUGUGUGUGUAUUUAAAACCAUGCGGUCCAACAGCACAAAAUACUGUCUUUUUCUCAAAAAAACGAGGCUGUUUUCUCACUUGUCGGUGCUACAGUUCUGGGUGGGGGACAACCUGCCUGGUUAAAUUAAAUAUGCAUAAAUAAGUUAAAAACACUUAAGUGGGCCUUCCCGGUGCUGCGGGGUCUGGCAAUUUCAGAAGAUUCAGAGGGGCCCAGGACUCCUGGGGAAGCAGGGGCUCCGAAUCUGCAGGCCUCUGCCCUUUACUGGGCCAAGCCCACCCCAAGCUGGUUGCACCACGGGGUAGGGGUUGGGGGGGGGACCUUUCAAGGCCUGCAGGUCACCUUGGCACUGUCACACAUCAGAGCAAGGAGGCCUGGGGCUCACCUAGAGCCUGAGGACACAGGGCCUGCAUGCGGUGGGCAUGGAAGAUUCGGGGCCAACGCAGGCCAAUGCACGCUGCACCCACAUCAGGCUCAACCAAGUGCCUGACAAGAAGCAGAGCCCAAAAGAUCUGUGGGACUCAAUGUCCAGCAAAGAAGCCUCAUCUGAUUUCACGGCUCCCUGAGGAGACAAACUCCACAGCAAAUUUCUAGCCGAGAAGCGUGACCUCACUCACGCCAGCUUGCAGCCUUCAGCCGCUCCCCCUGGGUCCUGAGAGCGCCCCACUCAGCAGCUGGAUGGGCCAGAGGAAGAGCCUGUGGUUCCAGGGGGACCCCAGAUGGCAGCUGCAGCCCAAGAAGUUAAACCUUCCCCCAAAGAUGGUUUCCGCGGAGCUGAUGCAACGUCGGGGCAAGAGCCCCAGCACAUCUGGACCAGAAGCACGUCGGGGGCUCUGGUGUCCUGGUAAGCGCGUCACUGGGCAGGUUCUGUGGAGCCAUGCGGGCUUGAAACGCCCACAUUGCCCAUCUCAGGGGCUUCAGGACGCAAAGCUGAACACAGGCGGGGGAUUCGGCCGAGCUGGCUGGGCAGGUCUCCAGGCAGAGAGAGGCCACAGCCCCAAACUGCAGGCGGCCUCCUGGAGGCCCUCGGGGGCUCAGAGACACUGCACUUGCAUGAGUCUGCGCCUCAGGCCUGCGCUCCAGCGACAGGGCCACGGGAGUCCUUCUUAACCAAGAAGCGUCGAUGGCUUCUGCUGCCUGGCGAGGUGCGCUCUCCCUGUUUACGGUGGCUCGUGUCUGAGAUUAGCCCCGUGAUGUCCCAAGUGCGCAGUGAGGAGGGAGGCCCAGCUUGGCGUCAGUGGCUGGAGGCUGGAGGUUUGUAGAAAACCUACUUGGGAAUCAAGACGCCCCUCCCGAGGGCACCGACUGUCCCUUCGAGGGGACUAACUAACAGCGUGACUAGUCAUUUCUCCUCCUAGAUCUUCAGGGUUCUCAUUCCUUAGCCGAGGUGCUAGACCCUUCCGUGACCCUAAGGCUAUCAAACAAUCUAUAAUUUAUUCAGGCAGCCUCCAAAUCUUCGGCCACCGCCUGCGAGUCUGACCCUCACAAAGAGCAGGCUAGCACUGCACAGGCAAGAGAGGAGAGGAAGCAGCAGCCCGUGUCCAGGGGUGGCUGUCCUGGGGGCGGGGGGGCUGCCCCACAAGAGGCUGGGUCUGACCAGGAGGACCUGCUGGCCGGGUUCCGAAUAGCCACCCAACAGAGGGAGCAGCCGGUUUGCUGGCUGCCAGACACCGGUGCGGACUACUUGUUUCCAAGCGAGGUGAGGGUGACGAGGAAA
rnacentral:lncRNA from 1 species